UGGGGAAUAUUGCACAAUGGGCGCAAGCCUGAUGCAGCCAUGCCGCGUGUAUGAAGAAGGCCUUCGGGUUGUAAAGUACUUUCAGCGGGGAGGAAGGCGAUAAGGUUAAUAACCUUGUCGAUUGACGUUACCCGCAGAAGAAGCACCGGCUAACUCCGUGCCAGCAGCCGCGGUAAUACGGAGGGUGCAAGCGUUAAUCGGAAUUACUGGGCGUAAAGCGCACGCAGGCGGUCUGUCAAGUCGGAUGUGAAAUCCCCGGGCUCAACCUGGGAACUGCAUUCGAAACUGGCAGGCUAGAGUCUUGUAGAGGGGGGUAGAAUUCCAGGUGUUGCGGUGAAAUGCGUAGAGAUCUGGAGGAAUACCGGUGGCGAAGGCGGCCCCCUGGACAAAGACUGACGCUCAGGUGCGAAAGCGUGGGGAGCAAACA
rnacentral:rRNA from 1 species